ACUAUGAACUCAACUUCUUUAUUUGGAUUUCACAAGGUUUUCGGAUAUCCUUUUUCGGUUCCAGGAUCCUAUCCAAGGUAUCACAUUACAUUCACUUGUCACAUUCACUUGUCAUUACUUGACGUGACAUAGACCAGACUCCUCUGGUCUAUGACAGUUUCUUAGACUUUUCUUGUUUUUGGUCUUGAUGGUUUUGAGGAAUACCGGCCAUUUUUUAAAGCGUGUCCCCCAGUUUGGGCUUAUCUGAUGUAUUUCUCAUUUGUUUUUAGAGAUAGGGUCUUUGCUCUGUUGCCCAGGCUGGAGUGCCAUGGCGCAACCUUGAACUCCUGAGCGCAGGAGUUCCUCCCACAUAGCUGGGGCUACAGGUGCACACCACUACACCUGGCUUUUUUUUUUAAGAGACCUCAUCUCAAUAUAUUGCCCAGGCUGGUCUCAAACUCCUGGCCUCAGGUGAUCUUCCCACUGUGGCCUCCCAAACAGCUGAAAUUACAGGUAUGAACCACUGUGUUCCACCUGUUUCUCAUGGUUUUUGUAUGGAAGACCACAGAGGUGAAGCAUCAUUCCCACUACAUCAUGUUAAGGGUGCAUACUAUUAACCUUAUUUAUUACUGUUUCUGACUGAGGUAGUGAUAGGUUCCUCUAUCAUAAAGUUACUCUUCAUCCUACCCGAUGUUCUAUAUGUACACAGGUACAGUGAUUUUAGAAUUGUUCACCUGCAUCCUCUUAAACUUCACCAACUAGAGUACAGUGAUUACGUAGCGCUCCUUUUGUCUGUACUCUUAGUUUUCAAUCAUUUACAAAGGUGUGCACCUCUUUUCCACACAGGCCUGUGCAGUUCUAUUCCCUCUUGAAAUGUUCAAUGUUUUGAGAUUAGGAGAUGGGAGAUGUCACAUACCUGGUUUCCAGCUUCUUCCAAAACACUGGCAAAUACGAAAACACUGUCACACAUUCCUCAAAGGCAAUAAUCAGCUGGAACUCUGGGUGGGGAAUAUUCUCCCAGUUCAAUAUGGUCCUCUCCUGGCCUGCUUCCUUUCACUGCUCUCCGUGUCCCUAAGGGCAUUUGAGUUUGCAACCCUUGAUGAAUGGUGGAGCAGGGAGACUGAGUGUAGACGAACUGGGGAGGCUUGGAAGGGCCAGGUGCCCCUCGCAACCAGAGUGGGCUGACUUCCCCAGUGCUGCUAGCAGUUGAGUAACUGCCAACAAUCUUCCCUGAAUUUCUAUUUAUUGGUUUCUUAAAAAUAAAAUGAAAACAACAAUAAAAAACCUGGCUGUCACUUAUAAGAUCUCUGUGUUGUAGUAGCCAGUUGUGGAUGAACAUUACCCAGAAGUGACGGAUGUAACAAACUCCAGAGGUAAGGGCAGGCCACUGUGGUACAAUUCACUGCUCCGAAGCCAGGCUAGGGCUCCCCUUGGUAGUACCUUUUGACUGCUCUGGUGGCCUGUGCUGGAGCUUACGUUGGAACCCACAGGACCUUGAUGCCCACAGCCCUGGGGAUGAACGCAGCCCUUUAGCCCCAGCAGUUUCUCUCCCUUCUUUCAAGCUCCUUGUCCCCACCAAGUUCAUCCUUAUAACCAACUAAAUAUACCCUUUUAAGACUCUCAGCUUUUCUUUGACAUAAAGAACCUACCCUGGCUGGGUGCGGUGGCUCACCCCUUAGUCCCAGCACUUUGGGAGGCCAAGGUAGGCAGAUCACAAGGUCAGGAGUUCGAGACCAGCCUGGCCAACAUGGUGAAACCCCAUCUCUACUAAAAAUACAAAUAUUAGCUGGGUGUGGUGUUGGGUGCCCGUAAUCCUAGUUGCUCGGGAGGCGGAGGCAGGAGAAUCACUUGACCCCAGGAGGCAGAAGUUGCAGUGAGCUGAGAUGCCGCCAUUGCACUCCAGCCUGGGCAACACAGCAAGACUCCAUCUCAAAAAAAAAAAAAAAAAAAAAAAAAAAAGAAAAAACCUACCCUUUUCAGUCUCUGUAGAGUAGAAGAUAUCAAUGGCUUUUCCCAUUUUUGCUGAAGGAGCAUUCUUGGAAGGCAAUAUUCUCAUUUGCUGGUAAUCUAUCCCAAAGAAUCAGGCACAUCUGGUUGCAAAAUCUUGAACCUUUAAGGUCUCUUGGUUGUGGCUUUCAUCUGAUGAUUCACUUAAAUCAGGGCCACACAAGGUAGACAUUUACAUAAACUCAUGAAUGUUGAUGCCAUUCAAAAGCACAAUUUCCUUUAUGUCUUAGGCAUGCAUUCUCAGUUACUGUUCUUUAUAACAAUUCCCUUCAGAUACAUAAGGAUUACAAGUUACUAUGUUUUAGUACAGUCUUGCUGGAAAUAGCCCCAAUGGAUGAUCCGUGUUCCACAUAAUCUUGACCAACAUUUCACGGCUAAUCCUAUCAUGGGAAGACAAUUCUGUGGGGAGAUGACUUAGGCAAGUUCAGAUGCAGUUAGCUGACCUGCCCAUGUGUACGGGAGAUACUCAUCCUAUUUCUACUAGACAAUGCCAUACAGAAACACAGCAUCUCCAUUAGGUGAGCUGAUCCUGAACAGUUCCUUUUUAAAUUAAAAUCUAGAUGGGCAUCCUUGCUCUGCCAAAAGCUUCAGAGCAGCCCUUUCAAAUAAUCUGUAAGGCUUAAGUAAGCAGUGAGGUUCUGACACCAUUAAUAACACAGGGCUGUUUGCAAAGCUAUAGCUUUAGAUAUGCAUUCCACAGGAUGUUUUUCAGUGGCUUGGGAGGGUUGCAUUAAGUCUUCCACACGUUUUUUUCAGUUCCCCACAUAAUAACCUGUGAAAACAGCCAAAUUCCUUAAACAGAGCAAAAUCAACUGGUUAUUUCAAGGACCUAUGAUUGGACAACACUUAAAGGUUUUAUUAUUUAGCCAGAGCAUGAGAGGGAUGGCUGGGGCAAUGUGCUAAUCCUUGGAAUCUGAUAAUCACUCUAGACACUCAAGUUUUUUUCUCUCCUUCUAUUAUUGCCUCUUUAGAGAUUAAAACCCUGUGUACCACUGAUGUUAUGCUGGAAGAUUUGUUUCACCAAUUCCUACUGUUCUGUAGCU
rnacentral:lncRNA from 1 species